AUUGAACGCUGGCGGCAGGCCUAACACAUGCAAGUCGAACGAGUGGCGGACGGGUGAGUAAUGUUUGGGAAUCUAGCUGAUGGAGGGGGAUAACUACGGGAAACUGUAGCUAAUACCGCAUACCAUAGGAUGAGCCCAGAUGGGAUUAGGUAGUUGGUGGGGUAAAGGCUCACCAAGCCGACGAUCUCUCGCUGGUCUGAGAGGAUGACCAGCCAAACUGGAACUGAGACACGGCCCAGACUCCUACGGGAGGCAGCAGUGGGGAAUAUUGCGCAAUGGGCGCAAGCCUGAUGCAGCCAUGCCGCGUGAAUGAAGAAGGCCUUCGGGUUGUAAAGUUCUUUCGGUAGCGAGGCGUUACCUACAGAAGAAGCACCGGCUAACUCCGUGCCAGCAGCCGCGGUAAUAC
rnacentral:rRNA from 1 species